AUUGAACGCUGGCGGCAGGCCUAACACAUGCAAGUCGAACGAGUGGCGGACGGGUGAUUAAUGUCUGGGAAACUGCCCGAUGGAGGGGGAUAACUACUGGAAACGGUAGCUAAUACCGCAUACCAUCGGAUGUGCCCAGAUGGGAUUAGCUAGUAGGUGGGGUAACGGCUCACCUAGGCGACGAUCCCUAGCUGGUCUGAGAGGAUGACCAGCCGCACUGGAACUGAGACACGGUCCAGACUCCGACGGGAGGCAGCAGGGGGGAAUAUUGCACAAUGGGCGCAAGCCUGAUGCAGCCAUGCCGCGGGUAUGGAGAGGGCCGUCGGGUUGUAAAGUACUUUCAGCGAGGAGGCGUUACUCGCAGAAGAAGCACCGGCUAACGCCGUGCCAGCAGCCGCGGUAAUAC
rnacentral:rRNA from 1 species